GCUGGCAUCAAAACACCUUCUUAGCUCAACGACUGCCCUGGCAAGCUCAUCGAAUUCGACUUGCGCCUGGGUCUUUGCCCGCCCUCCUCCCUGCUCUUCAUCUCUCUGUGUGCGCACGCACGCACAACACACACACACACACGUGCGCGCAGAGAAAUCGCAUCGCCGUGCGGUGCGUGUUCUGUGUUCUCUUUUGUUUCUUGUGAACGGAAGGGGUGGUGGUGCGCACUCCGUGUAUCCGUGCUGCCCCUGCCGCUGCUGCGGGUGCUUGUCCCGGUCGCGGAUCGUGUCUUGACGUCGCCGCGCUUGGCCUCUGCGUUGCUUUCCUCCAACACCCACGGUCAUCACGGCUCGUGUCAUUUUUAGACUGCGCGGACGGCCCUGCCCCCUUCUCCGUCGCAAACCCUUGGCGCGUCCACUGGUCCUCGCCGCGCUCGCUCAUGAUCGUCCGCUGACCCCUGAGAGUGCCGUGUUCUUAGAAGCCGGUGCCGAAUCGUUCUUGUUGUUGGAAUAGUGUGGGGAGGGGGGGGGUUCAUGUGCCUCCCUGCCUGUCCCGCCCCUUCCGUUUUUGUCUUUCUGUGUCUUCAAGUUCUCCAUGGGCACCUCGCGGGUGCACAGCACAAGCGGGACGGCGGGAGCGCGAUGGAACUCGAUCUCUCUAGGUCCACGUAGCAUCGCCGGCAGCACGCGUGGGCCCCACGGGCUGCAGUGUCGUCGUGGCUUCCGCGUCCUUCACUUCCUGCUGGCAUGCGCCAUCGCCCUCCAUGCCGUCACGGCACCGCUCUCCACCUGCUACGCUUACAUCCGCCAUGCAGCAGCGCCACCCUCCAUCACGGCUGAGACGCCAGCGGCCCCCUCUCUCAUUCGCCCGAACGGCCUGCCCCCCGCCGCCCCCGCCGCACCGUGGCGCACGCUCAACGAGUCGCUCUUGCCGUACCCCGUCUUCUACCCCGCCAUUGCGUUGCUGAACAACUCCAUCUUGCUGCUCGGCGGCUGCGCCACGGCAACUUGUGCCACACCCGUCGGGGCGUCAGGAACGAGGGUUGCCGCAUCGCGCCACCGAGCAAGCGCGGCGACCUCCGUCACCUCGCCGUACCACGAGCGCUUGCUCUCCUUGAACGUGGACAAUGGCAACAUCACAACGCUGCCGCAGCUGACGCUGCCUUCCGGGCUAGGCUUCGCUGGCCGCUACGCAGCCGUCACGCUCACCGAUAGUGUCUACGUCGCGCGUAGCUGCACCAUGAGCACGCAAUCACCAGCCGAGGUGGCGAGCAUGACGGCAGAGGAGCUGCAAGCAAUGCAGGCAGCCUACGCGCCGGUGGUAGCGUUCUACCCGGAAGGAACGGCGCACGCGAGCACGCGUGUCGGUGGCCCAGAUCCGCCACCAGCAGUGAACCUGACCUACUUCAAGGUGCCCGCCGAUCGCGUGCGCGUCAACGCCAGCUGCACCGCUCUCGCAACGGAAAACAAACUGCUCAUCAUUGGCGGCUUCCUGCUCUCCGGGAAGCGCGUCACGGCCAGCGUUGACUCCUUCAACGUCGUCACGCGCAAGUACGACGCCGAUGUCGCCUUCCUGACCGCACCUGUGUUGCAGCCAUCCGUAGCGACAUCGACCGGGUUCGCUGCCGUUGCAGGCGGCUGGACCUACGAGGCCGACACCACGGCCAGCGCGACUCGCGAAGCUAGGGCACUGCAAGAGGAGAGCCGCGUUAGGCGAAGCAGCCGCGUUGCCGUGAGCGGUGAGCCGCUGCAUCUAGUUCAGGAGCUGGCGACGCCGCCAGGGAAGUCAUCGGCAUCCCCCCGCUCUGACACGCCAUCAUCACCGCCGUCACGGUCCGUGCCGUCACCGGCGCCACUGCAGCCAGUGGCACGUUACUUGUUUGAUCUCUUGUUUUUCGAGCCCGACAGAGUACGCGGCUGCUCACGCGCCGCGCCACGUGGUGCGCUGCAGAUAGGUGGAAGCAUUUGCGUGUCGCCGGUGGACUCCUCUACCCUACCACGCACAGCCGUGGAGGACAUUCUUCUCUCACCCAACGGCUGCCACGUGGCGGUAUUUGGUGGCCAGGUGGUGCUGGUCGAUCACAACCUGGGACAUAUCGCGGCGCUGGAUAUACGCGCGAGGCUGGCACAGGCGUUCGCCGCUCGUGCGCCGUUGGUCCUGCGACCACCGCCGGCGGUGACGCUGCUUCGAACAGCGAAGCCGAACGCUGCCGCACGCGCGUUCGCCGGAACCGAGAGUGCGGCAAGCCGGGAUGCCCAGGCCAGUAGCCGCCACAACGAUCACGCCGGAUCGACGGCCGUGUUCGCCAGCAGCGGAAGCAGCAGUGCAGCGCCUAUGACCUCAUCGACGUCAUCGUCUUCUUCAGCCACCGCCUCAUCGUCGUCUUCAUCGGCGCCGCUGCCGGAGUACCGCUACUCAUGGAUGCAGCCGACCCUUAUCUCACUGCCCUACGCCCGCCGCCCCGCCCCGGCUGCUGCGCCGGACCCGCCCGUCAUGGCGGACACGAUCCUUCUUUACUACGCACUCGGUGGCGAGGACGUCUGGUCACAGGUGGUCACCGCGGCAGGCGACAGUGCUGCUGCUGAUCUUCUCGAUCCAUCAGGCAGGCAGCAUGUGGUGCCGCAGCUGCACGGUGACCCCUCAACUCUCCGUGCCACCGGCAAAGGCACGGAAGCCGUUGUCCGUCGGGAGCCGACGCUUCGCUGGGCUCAGCGGGAGCUGCCGGACGUGCGCUACGACAGAGACCGCCCCGAGCUGCUCGCCGUGACGAUGCCCACGCCGCUGUGGCCCGAUGCGCUCACCCUGCAGACCAACUCCGAGGGCAUUAUCCAUCUAGCGUUUCGAGACCUCAACUACACACGCUACUGUAGGUGGAAUCGGCUUGUCGACAACGACGAUGACAAUGUGGUCUGCGCUGUCCGGCUCAGCAGUCGCCGCGACUGCGUCGGCAACACCGCCGGCACACUCGACAGCGCCUACGACGGCUCCCCGAACGCGACUAUCCUCUUCAGCGCCAGCGGCAGCACGACCCCGGUGUACGUAUGCUUCAGCUACGUGGUGCGGCCAACCUUGUGGCCUACAUGCCGCAUCCGGCAGUCCUUUUCCAUCUUGAAUCCGAUGAUGCCACUGCGCAUCCUCGACAACAGCCACACCACCUCCGCGCCGACGCCAACACCACGUCCUUCUCCGACGCGCGACCCUGCCGACAAAACCACCAGCUCCCCGCUUUUCAUGCUCGCCGUUGGCGUGUCUAUCGUUACGCUACUGGUGGCAGUGCUCCUCGCUGCGCGGCUUCAGCAUGUGCCGGAGGAUGGGCUUCUGGUGAUGAGCCUGCUCGACCGCGGCGAUGGCGCAGGUGACCAGCACGCGAGCCCCGGGAUUCGCGGCCGCAGCUGCGGCGGCGCCGCGAGGCACAACGGGCAAGGCCGACGCAAGCGUCUUCUCCGCGGCAGCGGCGAGCCCAACAAAGCCGCAGAUGUCGAGGAUGACGACGAGCCUGGCCUGUACCCGAUUUCAACGUACGCCGAGUUCCUCCAGGUGGUUGGCAGCGCGCAGGAGGACAGUGAAGCGCGCAUGUUGGCGACAGCGGUGGAGGUGCUGCGGCUGCACCAACACCGCUAUCGCGUGCUCUCGCGGAUCGGCCAAGGGCCACAUUCUCUGUGCUUCCUUGCGCUUCGCAAGGCGCCGCCGCCGCCGCCGCUACGGGUGCAGCAGCAGCGAGUGAGGGGGGCGGGUGCCGGUAUGAACCGAAGGGUACGCAUGCUGGAUGGCGAUGCGAGUCCCGUCGUGCGCUCGUCCCUUUUCACGCGGCCACCAUCGUCGUUCCCAGCAGCGUCCGCCACCCUCAGUCCAGGCGUCCCGACCACCGCCACCUCGUCCCUGUGGGCCGCGCGGCACGACCAGAGCACGGCCGUCGUGGUCAAGUACACGCAGUGCCCUGACGACGCCACGCGAGCCCUCAUAACACGCCUGUGCGAGCGCCUCCGCGACCUUCAAGCGGACGCUGUCACAGAGGCUUUGGGUGCGACAGGGGUGUAUAGACAGCACCGCAACAGUGCCCCGUCGCGUCGCCCUCACCGGCGGUACCGCCCAUCGGACACGUCGUCGACGGUGUCCUCUGCCGCCGCUCUUCGGCCUUUAGAUGUGUCAACUCAACUCACAUGCAGCAUCGCCCGCGAGGUGGCCAGCGGCGGUAGAAGCAGCCGUGGAGGUGCUGCGGCACAGGCGCCGCAAACGGAUGCCGAGGAUGCCACGGCACCACCAACGAGCAGACGAGACAGCAGUGCCAUCAUCGUCACCACAGCAAGCCGAGCGGGAUGUCAGCCGCUGCCGCCGCUGUCUUCUGCCGCGAACGAGGCUCGCGUAAUCGACGGCGACGACGAUGACAACAGCUGCGCAUGGCUCGACGCUCACGAGGUGAACGUCGUCCUCUCGCUCUUCUUGCUGCUGCCAGAGGAUCUGUUCGUAUCGUACGAGGUGAGCGUUCUUCAGCAGCAAAACAGCAACAGCAGCAGCCAGCACGCGCACGUCGACCGCAGCGGCCGCUUGACGCCGCUAAGCGUGUCACAGGCUGCGGUGGAAUGGAAUCGCAGGCAUGUCUGGCCCGGCGCGAACGCCGAGCCAGCAAAGGCGUCUCAUCACCGCCAACGCCAUCGAUGCACACCGAUGCUGUCAGCAGGACAGAGCCUCCCCGAGCAGUCAACUCCGCGUGUAUGCUGGGCUGCCUGCGUGAACCCGCUCCAGCCCUCCACACUCAGGCCGUGGAGUCUUUGCCUGGUCAUGCCGUACGAGCGCAGCGGCGACCUUGCCGACUUCAUUUUGCGUUGCCAGCAGGUGCAGCUGCUUCCUGCUGACGUGACGGGCGCGAAGGACACGAAGCGCACCGGGCUGAGCAGCAGAACCUCCGCAUCUCCGGCAUGUGUGCCGCCUGUCCACCACUGCUGGACCGAGUCGCUUCUCUGCUCCAUCCUCUUCCAAGUAUGCACUGGGCUUCAGCUGCUGCACGCGCAGUCGCCGCCCAUCCUGCACGGCAACAUUAAGCAGACGAACGUGCUGCUGCGGGAGCCGGCCUCCUUCUCGGUGGCACGACGGCGUGUGGUCGUCGCUGGAACGCCGGCGGCACUGGCAGGGAUGAAGAUGGGCGUGAGCAGCGGUCGCGGUGGACUCGAGGACGCGAACGGCGAUCUAGACAUGGCCGCUGCCACAAUGCGCGUACCUGGAGCGCAGCAGGCAAGAGAAGGAGAAGGUGGAUGGCGGGACCGUCGCCUUGAAGCCGGCAUUGCCGCCGCCGCACGACCGCUCUCUGCGCACGCGUCCUUCUGGCGGGCGAGCAGCUUGGUAGCUGCCGCCACCGCUGUCUGGCAAGCUGGCUCGCCGGUCUUGCGCUCCUCGCUAUCCAUCGGAUCACCGCCUUCUCUGUUCCGUGCUGGCGCUACAGCGUCAUCAUCCACGGCGGCUUUCUCGCACGACGCGCCGCAGGAAGGGCAACCACAACUACAGCCACACGAAGACGAACAGCUGUGGCCGCCGGAGCGUGCACGGCAUCUGCUCAGUACGCACACCUACCUGCCCAUCAGCCUCACAGACGGCGGCAUGUCGUGGUGGUUGACGGUGCAACUGCCGCUGCGGCUACGCGGGUGCUUCGGGCGCACGACCCGCUCCACUCUUCGGCAGGCCCCGGCUGGGCUCUGCUGGCUGCGCCGGCUUGACCCGCCCCCAUCGUCGCCGCCGCCCAUCACGACGAAGAGCAGCGUCCUUCCAUCCGAGGACUGCAUUGCGGCGUUAGCUGACUUCUUGUUCACCUUUAUCGAUGUGCCCACGCACGUCGCACCGGAGUUGUUGUGGGGGCGGCUCUGCACACUGUCGCAGUCUGGCCACGGUGAUGAAGGUGGCGCUGCUGCCGGUCUCGCCGUGCCCGGCUCAUCGCUGACGCAGUCAUCUUCGUCACUCCACUCCAUUCGAAACCGGCGAGAGCAACACGUGGCCAGCUCUCGCCGCGACGGCCGUCGACGCGGCGAUGGUGAUAGCCUCACGCAUCGGCGUUGUGGUGAUGUCGCGCGCGAGCCUGCCGCGUCUCCGGCGGUGGGCUCAGCAAACCUCUUGCGUGCGACUGCUAGUGACGAACUGGGAGCGAACGUGACAGGGGACAAGCAAGCCCUCGGUGUGCUUCCUCAGCAGCAGCAGCCACAACUACAGCGGCACGACGACCCGUACGCGGACGAAGACAUGGACGAUCGAGACGUGGAGCUCGACAUCGACGAGGACGGUAUCUUCACCUGCGAGGAGGUGAAUGCGCUGACCUCCGCCAUGUGGAAGGCGGAAGGACUCACCCGCGUGCCGCGCGGCAGUCGCCACUACCGCCAGGCUCCUCCUCAGCAGCGCACCUCCGCGGCGGCCGUGGACCCCUUGCUACCAGGAGCUCUCGCUGCCUCCACCACCACGCCGGGCGGAGGCUCCGUGGCAGACGUGACUCUGCAGCCGCUGCGGAACACCACCGGAGAGGACGGUGGCCGUCGGGGUUUGGGCGGUGAUAUGCGUGGACUGCCGUCGAGCUUCUCUAACGCACCUCUGUUUGCGAGCACUACCACGGCGGCAACAGGCUUGCCGUCUACAUCGUCUACGCAGCCGACGUCACAGGCGCUGCACCGUCAUCACAAUGAUGUGGAUCGCCAACUCUGUGGCAACAGCAACAACGGUGGUCGGCGGAUGGCCGAGGGAGGAGGAGGCUCUGUCGGUGGAGAAGGAAGCCGCAGCAGCUCGAGCGUGUAUGAGGUGCUCAUCCAACGGGUGCUGGCGAUGGACACGGCGAGUGACAUAUGGAGCCUUGGCGUGCUGCUCUACGGCAUGUGCGCCGACACUGUGGAUGCGCAGCAGCAGCAGCAGCACCACCGCCACCACCAAACGUCCGCUUCCACACCGACCUCUACGCUGAGCCCGCCACAUGCGACUGAAGCCGGCAGCUCUCGUGUCCGCGCGCACGAGGGCGUCGCAGACACGCUGCCGCCUGCAAUUCCCACGUGCACGUGCGCGUCGCGGCUUGCCCAGCGCGCGUUUGCGGCACUCCUCGGCGACCUCUACGACCUUGCCGUAACAGGGGUGCCGAGUGGCGGCCCUGGCAACAACGGGUGGAGCUGCGAUGGUGGUGCCGGCCUGCGGUCUGUAGGCGGCGACGAGGGCGAUGGCGUGGAUGUGGAGCCGCCAGACGAAGCUGCCGAUGACCGCCUCCGCUGGCCCCGCUCGUGUGCGCUGGAAGAUGAGGUUAUGCAGGUCAUCGGCGAGGCGGGCUACACACAUGCUUUGGCGUCCGUCCUUGCGAGCAUGCUAUCGCCCGUAGCGGCACGGCGCCCCAGCGCCGGCGACAUCGUGAACCAGUUGCGUCUCGUGACCACAGGCGCCCCUGCCACCCUUGCAUCCGACAUCAUGCGCGGUGGUGGAGGCGGCCUUGCGGAUGCAGAUCGCGAGUACAGUGUCGCCCGGCAAGGCCCGCCUCCGCGCACCCGGCACAGCGGCGGCGCAAGUGAUGCAACGUCAUCCGUCAUGCUACACGAGCAGACGGCUCGCAUGGCGCUGCGUCAGCGAUGAUCGCGGAAAGAGAACGAAACCACCUGCGUGUGUACGUGUGUGUGUGUGUGUGUGUGUGUGUGGAUGGGUGUAAGUGUUUCUACUCCGCAGCUCGUCGGAUUCGUGGGGACGUGCUCAGCGGACGGGGAGGGGGUGUGGCGUGGUGAGCGAGCCCGGUGGUUGGCCCCAUACUCGUGCUUUCUCUUGAUUCUGGCUUGGUUUCUUCUUUUUUUGGGAGGGAUGCGUCGUUUGUGU
rnacentral:misc_RNA from 1 species